rnacentral:lncRNA from 1 species
UCUUACAUCUGGGGUCUCCCAAGCCCCUCACAUUCUAAAAAAUGAUUAACAUUUAACAUGGAGGUUUAGAAGAAGAGCAAGGACCAUCCACACAAGGUCCAAAAUAUGCCCCUUCUAACAUGAGGGCCUCCUUCAAAACUGAUGAGUCGGAGACCUCACUAUCAUCAAAAGACGACACCUUGCUGCUAAUCUCCACCAUAGCCUAGUCGUUCGAGGGAAAAAGCUUCGAUUUGGGAACACUCUUAAUGAUGCCCCUAGAAGCAUGGGAGUCGAUGACCUAGACCCUCAGCAGGAACUCUUCCCUUUUCUCUUCUUAUCUAUCUUCUUCACCUGAGUUUGAAUAGUGUCAGACGAAUUCUUUAUAACAUCCUUCACCAGCAUUUUUUCUGCUACCACUCUUGCUUUCUUCCUCAGCUUGAUUUCAUUGAGGAUAACUUUAAAGGGCACAUCCCCAUCCAUACCCAUAUCUUCCAUCAUAACUCCCACUUUAGCUCCCUCCUCCACAUCCGCCACUUCAACAUCUCUUCCAAGCGCAUCAUUCUCUUCCUCUGUUGACAAACCAUCCACCACUGCCUGAUUACAUAGGGGAGGCAAAAAGGCAGGUAACUGAACUGGCUCAGCCUGAGGAAGCAAAGCCAAAGGCUGAAUAUCACCCUCAACUGGAGCCAACUCUGGAUCGAAGAACUCAUCAUCAGGUCAGUGGGAUCA